GAUGAACGCUGGCGGCGUGCCUAAUACAUGCAAGUCGAGCGAACAGACGAGGAGCUUGCUCCUCUGACGUUAGCGGCGGACGGGUGAGUAACACGUGGAUAACCUACCUAUAAGACUGGGAUAACUUCGGGAAACCGGAGCUAAUACCGGAUAAUAUAUUGAACCGCAUGGUUCAAUAGUGAAAGACGGUUUUGCUGUCACUUAUAGAUGGAUCCGCGCCGCAUUAGCUAGUUGGUAAGGUAACGGCUUACCAAGGCAACGAUGCGUAGCCGACCUGAGGGGGUGAUCGGCCACACUGGAACUGAGACACGGUCCAGACUCCUACGGGAGGCAGCAGUAGGGAAUCUUCCGCAAUGGGCGAAAGCCUGACGGAGCAACGCCGCGUGAGUGAUGAAGGUCUUCGGAUCGUAAAACUCUGUUGUUAGGGAAGAACAAAUGUGUAAGUAACUAUGCACGUCUUGACGGUACCUAAUCAGAAAGCCACGGCUAACUACGUG
rnacentral:rRNA from 1 species